AUAUAUUCGAAUUCAUACUCACAUUCAGUGAUAAAAAAAUUCAACAUGGUUAAUGUGACCGUAUGCCCGCUAAACAUGUAGUCGCCGCAAGUUCUAACACCUUGUAUGGACAUACCGGCACCACGCCAGAUAACUCCAACCUUCGUCUGGCAUCUUACGUGGUUGGCAUUGUAAAUGUGCACCAGGUACAGAGAGAGAUGUAAUGAGCAUUGUAACGCAUCGCAAUAAGAAGACUGUACCAAAGAGGGCGAAAAAUCUUCGUAACAAGAUAAAUCUAUGAAGAGAUAGAGAGGAAAAGUCGAUGAAAAAGUGUCGAGAAUAGCAUUUCUAUCCAAGACCGAUAGUCUCAUAAAAUAGACAAUCUUUAUGUCUUAUAUUUUUACCUAUAUUUGUGAAAAAUAAGAACAAUAAGCCAAAUGGCGAAAAGUAUAGUGCCAGUAACUUCGCACAUGUCGAACGCCCAUGGGAUAUGAGGAACGUUAUCCAAAAAUAUAUCUGGCAAAGGUGGCAAGUGAGAUGCGUGUCCAUCUUCCGAUACCGAAGCUGAGUAAAAUUCAUUCUCUAUGGAACCUUCAUUAUUUGUACCAGUGCUAGGCAUCUAUCGUGAUUAAUUAUAAAAUGUAAAAUAAGACAAUUUGUAAAAUAAUUCAUUUUAAAGCAAUCCAAAGUCAAGUGCUAAUUCGAAUAAAUACUGACGUCGUGUUUGUGAUGGCCAUAAAAGUGCGGUGCUGUAAACAAAUCGACGCAUCCCAACUCGAACAACAUCGCGACGUUGUCUCUUUGUAAUUGUUUAAUACUUAUACACAAUCUUUUUAAGUC